ACUACGGGACGCAGCAGUGGGGAAUAUUGCACAAUGGGCGGAAGCCUGAUGCAGCGACGCCGCGUGAGGGAUGACGGCCUUCGGGUUGUAAACCUCUUUCAGUAGGGAAGAAGCGCAAGUGACGGUACCUGCAGAAGAAGCGCCGGCUAACUACGUGCCAGCAGCCGCGGUAAUACGUAGGGCGCAAGCGUUGUCCGGAAUUAUUGGGCGUAAAGAGCUCGUAGGCGGUCUGUCGCGUCUGCUGUGAAAGCCCGGGGCUCAACCCCGGGUCUGCAGUGGGUACGGGCAGACUAGAGUGCAGUAGGGGAGACUGGAAUUCCUGGUGUAGCGGUGAAAUGCGCAGAUAUCAGGAGGAACACCGAUGGCGAAGGCAGGUCUCUGGGCUGUUACUGACGCUGAGGAGCGAAAGCAUGGGGAGCGAACAGGAUUAGAUACCCUGGUAGUCCAUGCCGUAAACGUUGGGCACUAGGUGUGGUGGACAUUCCACGUUCUCCGCGCCGUAGCUAACGCAUUAAGUGCCCCGCCUGGGGAGUACGGCCGCAAGGCUAAAACUCAAAGGAAUUGACGGGGGCCCGCACAAGCGGCGGAGCAUGCGGAUUAAUUCGAUGCAACGCGAAGAACCUUAC
rnacentral:rRNA from 1 species